rnacentral:rRNA from 1 species
AGUGAACGCUGGCGGUAGGCCUAACACAUGCAAGUCGAACGGCAGCACAGUAAGAGCUUGCUCUUACGGGUGGCGAGUGGCGGACGGGUGAGGAAUACAUCGGAAUCUACUUUUUCGUGGGGGAUAACGUAGGGAAACUUACGCUAAUACCGCAUACGACCUACGGGUGAAAGCAGGGGAUCUUCGGACCUUGCGCGAUUGAAUGAGCCGAUGUCGGAUUAGCUAGUUGGCGGGGUAAAGGCCCACCAAGGCGACGAUCCGUAGCUGGUCUGAGAGGAUGGUCGGCCACACUGGAGGUGAGACACGGUCAAGAGUCCUACGGGAGGCAGCAGUGGGGAAUAUGAGACAAUGGGCGCAAGCCUGAUCCAGCCAUACCGCGUGGGUGAAGAAGGCCUUCGGGUUGUAAAGCCCUUUUGUUGGGAAAGAAAAGCAGCAGGUUAAUACCCCGCUGUUCUGACGGUACCGAAAGAAUAAGCACCGGCUAACUUCGUG